rnacentral:rRNA from 1 species
GGACUACACGGGUAUCUAAUCCUGUUUGCUCCCCACGCUUUCGCGCCUCAGCGUCAGUUACAGCCCAGAAAGUCGCCUUCGCCACUGGUGUUCCUCCACAUCUCUACGCAUUUCACCGCUACACGUGGAAUUCCACUUUCCUCUUCUGUACUCAAGCUUUGCAGUUUCCAGUGCGAAUCGGAGUUGAGCUCCGAGAUUAAACACUAGACUUACAAGGCCGCCUGCGCGCGCUUUACGCCCAAUAAUUCCGGACAACGCUUGCCCCCUACGUAUUACCGCGGCUGCUGGCAC